UGCACAUGCUGUGAGCUCGAUGAGUAGGGCGGGACACGUGGUAUCCUGUCUGAAUAUGGGGGGACCAUCCUCCAAGGCUAAAUACUCCUGACUGACCGAUAGUGAACCAGUACCGUGAGGGAAAGGCGAAAAGAACCCCGGCGAGGGGAGUGAAAAAGAACCUGAAACCGUGUACGUACAAGCAGUGGGAGCACAGAGCAAUCUGUGUGACUGCGUACCUUUUGUAUAAUGGGUCAGCGACUUAUAUUCUGUAGCAAGGUUAACCGAAUAGGGGAGCC
rnacentral:rRNA from 1 species